rnacentral:rRNA from 1 species
AUUGAACGCUGGCGGCAGGCCUAACACAUGCAAGUCGAACGGUAACAGGAAACAGCUUGCUGUUUCGCUGACGAGUGGCGGACGGGUGAGUAAUGUCUGGGAGACUGCCUGAUGGAGGGGGAUAACUACUGGAAACGGUAGCUAAUACCGCAUAACGUCGCAAGACCAAAGAGGGGGACCCUCGGGCCUCUUGCCAUCGGAUGUGCCCAGAUGGGAUUAGCUUGUUGGUGGGGUAACGGCUCACCAAGGCGACGAUCCCUAGCUGGUCUGAGAGGAUGACCAGCCACACUGGAACUGAGACACGGUCCAGACUCCUACGGGAGGCAGCAGUGGGGAAUAUUGCACAAUGGGCGCAAGCCUGAUGCAGCCAUGCCGCGUGUAUGAAGAAGGCCUUCGGGUUGUAAAGUACUUUCAGCGGGGAGGAAGGGAGUAAAGUUAAUACCUUUGCUCAUUGACGUUACCCGCAGAAGAAGCACCGGCUAACUCCGUG